UGUAGCUCAGAGGUAGAGCACUUGCUUAGUAUGUAUGAGGAACUGGGUUCAAUUCUCAGCA
rfam:Ictidomys tridecemlineatus contig098562, whole genome shotgun sequence.